GACCUAAGCCCUUCUGAGUAU
rnacentral:miRNA from 1 species